rnacentral:rRNA from 1 species
GCUGAAGCCAGUCGAAGAUACCAGCUGGCUGCAACUGUUUAUUAAAAACACAGCACUGUGCAAACACGAAAGUGGACGUAUACGGUGUGACGCCUGCCCGGUGCUGGAAGGUUAAUUGAUGGGGUUAGCGUAAGCGAAGCUCCUGAUCGAAGCCCCAGUAAACGGCGGCCGUAACUAUAACGGUCCUAAGGUAGCGAAAUUCCUUGUCGGGUAAGUUCCGACCUGCACGAAUGGCGUAAUGAUGGCCAGGCUGUCUCCACCCGAGACUCAGUGAAAUUGAACUCGCUGUGAAGAUGCAGUGUACCCGCGGCAAGACGGAAAGACCCCGUGAACCUUUACUAUAGCUUGACACUGAACAUUGAGCCUUGAUGUGUAGGAUAGGUGGGAGGCUUUGAAGUGUGGACGCCAGUCUGCAUGGAGCCAACCUUGAAAUACCACCCUUUAACGUUUGAUGUUCUAACCUAGGCCCAUAAACUGGGUCGGGGACCGUGUCUGGUGGGUAGUUUGACUGGGGCGGUCUCCUCCUAAAGAGUAACGGAGGAGCACGAAGGUUGGCUAAGCAUGGUCGGACAUCAUGCGGUUAGUGCAAAGGCAUAAGCCAGCUUGACUGCGAGAGUGACGGCUCGAGCAGGUACGAAAGUAGGUCUUAGUGAUCCGGUGGUUCUGAAUGGAAGGGCCAUCGCUCAACGGAUAAAAGGUACUCCGGGGAUAACAGGCUGAUACCGCCCAAGAGUUCAUAUCGACGGCGGUGUUUGGCACCUCGAUGUCGGCUCAUCACAUCCUGGGGCUGAAGUAGGUCCCAAGGGUAUGGCUGUUCGCCAUUUAAAGUGGUACGCGAGCUGGGUUUAGAACGUCGUGAGACAGUUCGGUCCCUAUCUGCCGUGGGCGUUGGAAGAUUGAGAGGGGUUGCUCCUAGUACGAGAGGACCGGAGUGAACGCACCACUGGUGUUCGGGUUGUCAUGCCAAUGGCAUUGCCCGGUAGCUAAGUGCGGAAGAGAUAACCGCUGAAAGCAUCUAAGCGGGAAACUUGCCUCGAGAUGAGUCUUCCCUGUCGCUUUAAGCGACCUAAAGGAACGUUUAAGACUAAGACGUUGAUAGGCUGGGUGUGUAAGCGUAGCGAUACGUUGAGCUAACCAGUACUAAUGAACCGUGAGGCUUAACCUGACAACACCGAAAGUGUUUUG